GAAAAUGUGGACACUUUUCAGUGUCAUUGGGAGAUGUAACACCCAGUGAUAAGUGUAUAUUGGUGUAUGGAAGGGGCUCUAUAAUUAAUUCUGUUGCUUUUUCUUAACACUGUCUUCUCCAGUGAAUUUUUUGUGUCCUUUCCUGUUUUUUUUUCUCUUUUGUGUCUCCCAAGUGGCAUUCACUGACUUACUUUCCUAGCAUUGCUCAAGACCAAUGUUGUUGACCUCUGAUUUAGACCAGUUAUUUCCUCUUUAGGC
rnacentral:lncRNA from 1 species